AUUUUUGCAUGCACGGCACCCUGCACACCGUCUAGAGGUCAUAGCUGUGCUUGUGUCUAGGUCAGUCCGGUCUGUACUGAGCACCUGUCCUAGUCUCUGCAGGCACCACCUGGGGAAGAAGAAGCCGCCUGUUGUUGACCAGUAGGAGCAAGAGGGUGAUGUGUGUUUACUCUGCUGACCCUAAAGUAAAACAGACCCAGGGCCAGAGCCAUUGGCUGAGAGAGGGCAGCACUGGGUGCAGAGUGCUGAGUGGGAAGCAGGCAGACUAUACCCGUCAGAGAGAGGACUUCAGAGAAGCAGGAAAGUCUAGGGUGAAAAGGAAUUCCCAGCCAGAGGUAGAGGAAGGACAGCCUCAAAAAACAGGUCCUUGGUGACUGUCUGUCCAGCUCACAUUCCACCUGUGUCCGGGAUGUUCCAGGACACCCCUCAUCCUCCACGUCUCAGUCUGGACAAAGCUGUGUCUGACUCCUGCCCUCGGCAGCCUUGGAAGCCCCAGAUGAUCCCAGAAGCCCCUCUGCUAUGACACUCGCGACCCUUUAUUGCUAUCAUCUCCCUCUAUCUUCCCAGGGAUGAGUGUUCUUCAUGCUGGAUGCCGAGGACGGACCCUCAAAGCUGGUGUAAUUGAAACCAACCCUCUAAAUGCUUGUUCAUUCCUGAGGGAAAUUAAAGGUGAUUUCAAGCAGGAAGAUCACAGAUUUCAGAAAAAGGGCCUGGGGGGCUGCACUGUGGACUGGACGGCUGGGCUGUUGGAGCCCCGUUCGGGGAGAUUAGCUGCAGCCGAUUGCACUUUCCGGAGGGAGGGCCGGCCUCGUGGGGAGACCCCUGCCCUCCUGCCCCCCCUCCAUUCGGCAGAGGUAAGGAGGCCCGCCAGCUUCAGGGCUUGCUGCCCGCGGCCCCCCACCCCAGAAAGAGCCAAGGUGGAGUCAGGGAUCAGAACAGGCACCCAGCUCAGACCGGUCUUCCUGAAAGCCCCCCCAGCCUGUGUGGGGUGGGGGGAGCCUGGGCCAGGAGGGCAGACAAGGGAGGAGGCCCAGCGAAAAGCCCCCAGGUAGCCUCAUUCAGGUGCUGGGCGACCUCAGACCAGUCUUCUCUAAACCCCUGUGCCUCAGUUUCCUCAGCUGUACAGAAAGAAUGGAACCGGUACCCGAGAGCUGCGGGGCGGGUUGCAUUAAAUGAGGUGACGCCCGUGACGCCCUCAGGGUCCGGACCAUUCGGGGAACAACAGAUAUUGAUGGAAUGUGAAUUGGCAUCCCAGCAGCUGAGGGAAAGAGCCCUUGAUUACACACAGGGGCUCGGCCAGGACACUCAUUUUCCGUAGAAGGUGAGGGCAGGCUCCACACGCGCCUUAGAGACAAAAGCUAUCUUUUCUUCCCUUUCUGGCCUUGGGGGGGGGGGGGGGACAUAUUUUAAAAGGCUGCAACCUUUCCUGCAUGCCGGGCACUGUGUGGGCCACACAAAUGCCGAGCAUUUGCUACUCACGACAGAAACGAGGACCGGUUGUCAUCGCUCCUGUGUUACAGGCAAGAAAACUAAGAUUCGGAAAAGCUGUGUCAUUUGUUCCAGGGCACAGGCCAAGGGGUGGCAGUGCCUGUCCCAGCCCCUCGUUCCUGGCUGGCCUGGGAGGCUCGGGGACGCAUGGUCCUGACCCUCCGGCUCCGCACAUGCCGGCAGCAGUGAGCUCAGCACCAUCUAAAGGGAUCCUCUGGCCCGAACGCCCCACGAAAAGGCGCCUCUGACCCCCAACCAACCUCGGCCUGCCCCUCUUGCCUCACCCCUCCUGGAGCCAGGCGUCCAGCACCAACUUCCCCAGCCACGGUCCAUCCUCCCCGCCUCCUGGCGGGCUCCUCUCAGAUGGUUUUGGACGACAUCUGUUUCCCCCAAGCCUGGAACCGUCCUCUGCGGGGAGCAGGGGCAGCGGCUCCGUGGCCCGGACCUCAGAACCGGGCGGGAUGUUGGUUUCUUAGAUCUGAAAGGCCGUGUGUGAUUUCGGCACGCGUUCAGCGUCUUUAGGGCGGAAGUCCGGAAGCUGCAGGAAAGAAGGUUCCAGCUUGU
ensembl:lncRNA